CCAAGGAAAAAGCAGAAAAACUGAUAAAAAGGAGAAAAAACCAGGACACUCACCGUCAGCCGGGCUGCCACCACAACACUGCGGUUGCAGACUUGGAAGUGUCCCACUGUAGUUACGUGUAUUUCUCUGUCAGAUGUAAAUUACUAUGUGUAGCUAGCUAAACUCCUUGUAAAUAUCCUUAAAACAGAAAUUUGUUGUUUGAGGACAAAAGACUGACAAAUUGUGUGUGAUAAAAUAAAAAAUAAAUAAAAUAAUGUUAAGCAAUAACACUUAUGCCCCUAUAACGGGUUACACUUGAUUCUGCAAAGGUUCCUGUGGAACUGAAGCACAUGUCAUGUUCUUGCUCAGCUGGGAAAGCCCUGUGCAAUCACAUGGUGGCACUUCCAAGGACACAGAGGCUACAAAUGAUAUGGCGGUGUGUAAACCAGUGGAAAGGACAAAAAAUAGGGUCAGGACUGGUGUGAAGUGCACACUGUACAGAGCAUAUGUCGGUCCUCUUUCAGAUCAUCGCGUCAUGGCCAGCGGGGAGAAACUGGAAGACAUGCGUCCACAACCAGGGAUAUGCAAGUUGCUGCACGGGCUUGACAACCUUACUUUGGUGGACUCUAAAUUUGGCCAUGUUCCAUUUGGUCUGUGCUUUCUUAUCAAUGCCCUCCUGAAACAAGCAGAGACAUUAUUAAACAUCCAAGUUCCCUUGAGUUUCCUCAGUUGCCUGUUGACGGUUACAACUGUAAAUUUCCACUAGAUUUUGAGCCCAACUACAAGCAACAUUGCCACUUGGAGAGCUGAUGAUACACGGAGCGACUUUUAGAGCAAUGGUGCUGGGCAUUGUAGCCGUCAAUGGUAAUGAGUAAAGAUUACUACCGUAAUCCAAUUCCCCCACUACUCCGCCAAGUGCCCAGCCCCGCCACUACCCGUUCAAAACAUAGUCUGACUUGCCACCAGCAACACUGCCCAGCAACAUUGCUCAAAAAGUUGCCCCGUGUAUCAUGAGCUUGAAGGUAUCGCACAAGAGGAUCAUCAUCCACCCUGAUGCACCUCACCUUGGAGCCAGCCCUGAUGCUAAAGUCUUCAACCCAAAGGGAACACCGCCAUUUGGGUUAGCUGAGGUAAAGAGUUACAAUGUUGAAAAUGUUGCACAAGUUAAACACCUCAUCACACGCAAAGGCCAGGCCUCCCUUAAGAAGAGCCACAAAUACUAUUAUCAGGUUCAAGGCCAAUUGGCUGUAAGCAGACUUCAGUGGUGGGAUUUUAUUACAGAUACCCACACUGACUUCACAGUUGAGAGAAUCUUUAGGGAUGAGGCAAUUAUCCACUCAAUGAGACAGAAGCUUGAUCAUUUCUAUCAUAACAUCUACAUGGAUGUCUUAAGUUGUAAAC